rnacentral:snRNA from 1 species
GGGUGAAAGGGCCAACUGACGGUGACAUCUGUCACCCCAUUGAUCACCAGGGUUGAUUCAGCCGAUCAGGCUGGCUAGGCAGGUGUCCCCUUCCUCACGGCUCCACAUGCAUCCCUCAUGAAGCUACUUGCUCCCUUGAAGAGGACAGCCUUCCCCGAGUAGUGACACACACUACUGUUGAGGGUAUCCUAGUAGCUGCUUCCCCCUGCCAGAACUUCCAGACCAGCUCCCAGAAGGUUUGGAUGUGAACUAAUGCGGAAACUGCAGAGAGAAAGGGGGUUGCCCAUCCCCU